CUAGUAAGCCCCGCAGCGACUCUAAACAAGUGCUCCGAGUCACCCCAACAAUAUGGGGCUGGCGACGCCUUCAUUCUGUGCUGAAAGGUCCCGAUGGGGUUAACCAGCAGCUCCACUCACCUGGAGUCCACAGAUCAAUACGCUGGCGGCCACCGCGGUGGUUGAGAUAUGACCGGCCUCGGCUGUUACCGGCCCGAGAAUUUUGCGGAACCUGCGGAAGGAUCAU
rnacentral:rRNA from 1 species